AUUGAACGCUGGCGGCAGACCUAACACAUGCAAGUCGAGCGGAUGAAGGGAGCUUGCUCCUGGAUUCAGCGGCGGACGGGUGAGUAAUGCCUAGGAAUCUGCCUGGUAGUGGGGGAUAACGUCCGGAAACGGGCGCUAAUACCGCAUACGUCCUGAGGGAGGAAGUGGGGGAUCUUCGGGCCUCACGCUAUCAGAUGAGCCUAGGUCGGAUUAGCUAGUUGGUGGGGUAAAGGCCUACCAAGGCGACGAUCCGUAACUGGUCUGAGAGGAUGAUCAGUCACACUGGAACUGAGACACGGUCCAGACUCCUACGGGAGGCAGCAGUGGGGAAUAUUGGACAAAGGGCGAAAGCCUGAUCCAGCCAUGCCGCGUGUGUGAAGAAGGUCUUCGGAUUGUAAAGCACUUUAAGUUGGGAGGAAGGGCAGUAAGUUAAUACCUUGCUGUUUUGACGUUACCAACAGAAUAAGCACCGGCUAACUUCGUG
rnacentral:rRNA from 1 species